CCUACGGGUGGCAGCAGUGGGGAAUAUUUCGCAAUGGGCGCAAGCCUGACGAAGCGACGCCGCGUGGACGAUGAAGGCCUUCGGGUCGUAAAGUCCUGUCGGAUGGGAAGAAAAGUAUGAGUUCAAAUAGAGUUCAUGCUUGACGGUACCAUUCAAGGAAGCCCCGGCCAACUCCGUGCCAGCAGCCGCGGUAACACGGGGGGGGCAAGCGUUAUUCGGAAUCACUGGGCGUAAAGGGCGUCUAGGCGGUCGGGUAAGUCGUGGGUGAAAGCCCCCGGCUCAACCGGGGAAGUGCCUGCGAAACUAUCCGACUUGAGGUCGGGAGAGGAAAGUGGAAUUCCCAGUGUAGCGGUGAAAUGCGCAGAUAUUGGGAGGAACACCAGUGGCGAAGGCGGCUUUCUGGACCGACCCUGACGCUGAAGCGCGAAAGCUAGGGGAGCGAACGGGAUUAGAUACCCUGGUAGUCC
rnacentral:rRNA from 1 species